rnacentral:rRNA from 1 species
GAUCAUGGCUCAGGAUGAACGCUAGCGGCAGGCUUAACACAUGCAAGUCGAGGGGUAUAGUUCUUCGGAACUAGAGACCGGCGCACGGGUGCGUAACGCGUAUGCAAUCUACCUUUUGCAGAGGGAUAGCCCAGAGAAAUUUGGAUUAAUACCUCAUAGUAUGUGAGAAUGGCAUCAUUUUCACAUUAAAGUCACAACGGCAAAAGAUGAGCAUGCGUCCCAUUAG